rnacentral:rRNA from 1 species
AGAUUGAACGCUGGCGGCAGGCCUAACACAUGCAAGUCGAGCGGUAGAGAGGUGCUUGCACCUCUUGAGAGCGGCGGACGGGUGAGUAAUGCCUAGGAAUCUGGCCUAGUGGUGGGGGAUAACGUUCGGAAACGGACGCUAAUACCGCAUACGUCCUACGGGAGAAAGCGGGGGACCUUCGGGCCUCGCGCCAUUAGAUGAGCCUAGGUCGGAUUAGCUAGUUGGUGAGGUAAUGGCUCACCAAAGGCGACGAUCCGUAACUGGUCUGAGAGGAUGAUCAGUCACACUGGAACUGAGACACGGUCCAGACUCCGUACGGGAGCAGCAGUGGGAAUAUUGGACAAUGGGCGAAAGCCUAGAUCCAGCCAUGCCGACGUGUGUGAAGAAGGUUCUUCGGAUUGUAAAGCACUUUAAGUGGAGG